rnacentral:other from 1 species
UCGGCACUGCGGGGUUCGCCACCGAGUUACGAUGAUUGAGCCUACGCCGUAGAUAAAGGGAGACCGAUGCCGACGCCAGUGCAGCCCCUCAACGCAGGGAUUGCCGGAGGCGGCGGCUUCAACCGAAAGGUUAGGUCACCCACCUGUUACACGCAGGUUCAAUCUCGGCUUCGGAGCGGCCAACGCGGUUCUUCC